CGAACGAGGAAAAAACCACUAGAAAAUUAAAUCUACGAAGUUUAACCCACGAAAAAAACCAGGGAUGGGGAAUCGAUCGAGCGAUUCCCCCUGAUGUUCGCCCCCGCCGCACUCGAAUCAGCCGCCGCCCUCGCCCUCGCAGCCGCCGCCGAUCCCCUUCCCCAUCUCCCUCCCUCAAACGCCGCCGCCCAUCGUUGACGUCCUACACAAGUCGGGCCACGCCCGCAGCGAGCGUCGCACCAACGUCUCCAUCAACAAGACGCGGCGUCUCCAUGAGUGUGCGGGGCUAGGGUUUCGGGUGCGGCGUCGCCCUGGUCGCCGGUGCGACUCUUCUCAGUCUUUUACCGCGGCUCCGCCUCCUGGAUGGCGCUCCUGUGGGCAUGGGUGCGCGCGCGCGUCGGCUUCCUCCUCUCUAUCAUGCAUAUUCGUGUGGCCUCGACCAAAAUGUCGGUGUUGUGCUCUUGUAGAACAGCAUUAAGAGGAUGUGAUAUCAGCUAGCUUAAUUUUUUCCAAACUCCUGCAAUGAAAGGAUGUGGUCCUGUCAAAAUCAGAUACUAAUGGCAGUUUUGCGAGUGCAUGCAUGUUCUUGUCAUUUCAACUAAUCUGGCUGGCCAUGUCUCCAUAGAAAGGUUCAAGCUUCUCAGCCAUACAAUAGGUGUCAGACACCCAGACUUUAUGAGCAUGUGAUUUGUUCAGGCAAGCAACGACAGGCACAGCUGAAACACAUCCUACAAAUUUUGCUUCUCUCAAUUGCUCGUUUCUCCUGCGCCGCUCAGAGCAUCCCGAUGGACAGUGGUGUUCAUGGCGAAUCGAUGGGGCUUGCCUUCCUCUACACAAUUGAGCGCAGGUUCCUGAUCAUAAUACAAACUUUUGAAAACAUUAUAUUUCCUGCUUGCACUUUACUUGAAGCAUAAUUAUACUACGUAUAUUUAGCGGAUACUAUUGUUUGAGUAAUAAAAAUUUGGAAGCUCAAAUUAUAUACUUGCUUUAGAUUGUUGCCUUAAAAAACAAUAUAUCUUUUUUCACUAAAAUGCAGGGUUCAUUUUUCAUUCAGGAAUAAGGAUAGUACAGGGUGUAUCUGAAAAAUACGGUAGUGAAUGGUAUGCCGGCAACAGCUCGCAAGGACCAAAGCAACUCUAAUCUGGUUCGCUCGGUCUUUGAAUCAGCUGGUUAAAAACCAAGAGGUCAUUUGGGGUUUGUAGUAGUGUUAUUUACUAGAGGCUACUUCCCUUAGUAUUGUCGAUGUCUACUUGACCUUUCAUGGGAAUCGGAUGUAACCAUCCCGCAACCUGCGACCGUUCUAGCAACUGGCAAUUAUUCUGUAGCAAAGCACAUCAGUUUGUUCUAUUAUGUUAAUCGGAAAGUCUGUACAUAUGAGUUCAGACUGAGACUGAGAGAGUGAUAUAGAUUUGCUCGAGUUUACGAAAUAUAUUAUGUUGUUACUUGCAUCUUUCUUGGAUUUUUUCCCUUGCAUUUCUUCUUCUUUUCCCUACCAUCUGUUUUAUAGAAGUUUCUACAUCAAAUUAAGCAAGUACAUUAUCCGUUCUUGUCCAAGUUUAUCUUAUUCCUUUCAUCGGAAGUCUGUACAAAUGAGUUUGGACGAAGAGAGUGACAUAAAUUUGCUUGAUAUUUUGAAUUAUUUUCUGCUUUUGGGUUUGCAUGCUAUACUGCUUGAUUAAUGAUUAUUGAGGAAAAUUAGUGGCAAACGUUGGUUGAGAAAGCUCCUGCAUUUACUGUAAUGCACGGUAGUUUAUUGCAAUAUGAUCUGCACGGUAGAAAGCACUCAUAUUUGAUUUGAUUCUGUUCUGUGCUUGCCAAUAGUAAUAACUUGAAAUAUGCUUUUAUCAUGAUUAUAAAGUUUAUUGAUGAUGCUUUGUUUCAGGAUAUGUGGAGAGGCUAUUUGCAAUGUGUUCAAGGCAGAUAGUAGAUUAUAUGGUUAAGCAUCUCACUUAUAUUGGUAAUUUUUAUUUGUUUUAUUUAAAUUAAAAUGGUUUAUGUAUUCUGCUCUAUAGGUGAAUUUGCUCCAAUAAUUCUGCAACCCUCGAGGAGGUGACAUUUCCAUCAAAUGAUUUUACAGUUCGUUUGGUGUCAACAAUGGGUGGCAGUAAACUGCAUUGCUACUAAGUGCGGACUUCUGUCUGCCAAGGACGUGGUGGAUCCAAAGAAGUUUCUGGUGCAGAGUUAGCUUUGGAAGGAACUUCUUCUGCUCAUUGUUUACAUGCUGGUGGUACUCUUGGUGUUUUGCCAACUGGAAAGAAGAUAGUUAGCAUGGGCAUUAUUCAUUCAUCAAUGCCAAAACACAAAAGGCUUAGACAACAAAAAAGAAUGCCCGUUUUUCAGUGGUCUAUUGAAGAAAAAUCAAAGGGGGCAAAAGAUAAUACUCCCUCCAUUCCGAUUUACUCGUCGUGGUUUUAGUUUAAAUUUGAACUAAAACCACGACGAGUAAAUCGGAACGGACGGAGUAGUAUUUCUAAAGGUAUUUUUCUGGAGAUCCGACAUUAUCCAUUUCUUAUAUAUUUUUCCUGAAAAUAAGUAAAUAUAUUAAUUAGAAGUAUCAGGUAUAGAACUAUUCUAAAGUGAUUUUUAGUAUCACUAGCACCACCAACAAUUGGCAUGUGGGCUUGUUUUCCUUUGUAAGACGAUGAUGACAAAGUUAUCCCCGGGUCUGAGUGCCUCAAGUGUGCAUACAAUGGCUUACAUAUUAACUGAAUAUUGGGUUUGAUCUUCAGAGAAUUCUCAAUGCGUAGAGCAGUCCUCUCCAUAUUAACACAUAAAGCCCCAUUCCCUCCCAACACUGGCCGGUGGCGGAGCUUGGCAACGGUGGUGAUGUGGAGGCGAUGACCAUCAUGGAAGAGGGAAAUAUGCUGCUAGAUACUGAUGUUGAUUGCAACGACUCCAUGACAUUGUAACGAGGGGAUACCGCAAUGGACAAGGCAGAAAUCUUGUUCAGAGGGACAAUGCCCACGGGUGACUGCGGUGUGAGCUGGUGUUGUCCCGUCGUGGCAAUAGGGACGCAGAGGCAAGGCGGAGGCCAGAGAUGGCAUGGAGAAAAAUUAUGACGAGCAAAGCAGUGACAUUGUACAGUAACACGGUCAUGUGUGUGGCCUCUGCGCAGCAGCGACAGGCAGUGGCGGGUGGCGGAAUAGCAAGGCAUCCGGUCAGAUGACAUGGGUCGAUGGGGAGUUGGUGGCUCUCGACUACAACAAAGAUCAUCGAGGCAAUCUAUAUUGGUUGGUCAAUUACUAACAACCUAACACAACAUGUUUCGAAUUGCAUUUUUUAUGACUAAAAGUAGCAGUUGCUGCUGUUGUAUUAAGAUAUCAACGAGAAUCCAGAAUAGGCUCUUAAGGGAGCAAGGCUGUUUGGCGCCUGGAGGAGCGUCCGGGUUCAAGGAUCUGGCCCCCGCCAUCGAGACGUAUGGGGUCGUCGCCGAGUACAUCUGGUUAUGAGAGAGAUGGAUAUGAAUUAUGUUGACGUUCAAAAAGAAACCAUCGACAAGGGACAAUAUUGAUGAAAGGGGCAAAAAAUUAACAAAAUUUUAAGUAUAUAUGUGCAAUCAGAAAAAAAUUAUUUAAAAGGCCUGUAGCAACUCAUGCAAGGUGCUCUCACGGGUGUAGGUUUGUCCAUCGCCAUUUGACUUUAUAACCGUGC